rnacentral:rRNA from 1 species
GACGAACGCUGGCGGCGUGCUUAACACAUGCAAGUCGAACGGAAAGGCCCUGCUUUUGUGGGGUGCUCGAGUGGCGAACGGGUGAGUAACACGUGAGUAACCUGCCCUUGACUUUGGGAUAACUUCAGGAAACUGGGGCUAAUACCGGAUAGGAGCUCCUGCUGCAUGGUGGGGGUUGGAAAGUUUUGGCGGUUGGGGAUGGACUCGCGGCUUAUCAGCUUGUUGGUGGGGUAGUGGCUUACCAAGGCUUUGACGGGUAGCCGGCCUGAGAGGGUGACCGGCCACAUUGGGACUGAGAUACGGCCCAGACUCCUACGGGAGGCAGCAGUGGGGAAUAUUGCACAAUGGGCGGAAGCCUGAUGCAGCAACGCCGCGUGCGGGAUGACGGCCUUCGGGUUGUAAACCGCUUUCGCCUGUGACGAAGCGUGAGUGACGGUAAUGGGUAAAGAAGCACCGGCUAACUACGUGCCAGCAGCCGCGGUGAUACGUAGGGUGCGAGCGUUGUCCGGAUUUAUUGGGCGUAAAGGGCUCGUAGGUGGUUGAUCGCGUCGGAAGUGUAAUCUUGGGGCUUAACCCUGAGCGUGCUUUCGAUACGGGUUGACUUGAGGAAGGUAGGGGAGAAUGGAAUUCCUGGUGGAGCGGUGGAAUGCGCAGAUAUCAGGAGGAACACCAGUGGCGAAGGCGGUUCUCUGGGCCUUUCCUGACGCUGAGAAGCGAAAGCGUGGGGAGCGAACAGGCUUAGAUACCCUGGUAGUCCACGCUGUAAACGGUGGGUACUAGGUGUGGGGUCCAUUCCACGGGUUCCGUGCCGUAGCUAACGCUUUAAGUACCCCGCCUGGGGAGUACGGCCGCAAGGCUAAAACUCAAAGGAAUUGACGGGGCCCCGCACAAGCGGCGGAGCAUGCGGAUUAAUUCGAUGCAACGCGUAGAACCUUACCUGGGUUUGACAUGGAUCGGGAGCGCUCAGAGAUGGGUGUGCCUCUUUUGGGGUCGGUUCACAGGUGGUGCAUGGCUGUCGUCAGCUCGUGUCGUGAGAUGUUGGGUUAAGUCCCGCAACGAGCGCAACCCUUGUUCACUGUUGCCAGCACGUUAUGGUGGGGACUCAGUGGAGACCGCCGGGGCCAACUCGGAGGAAGGUGGGGAUGACGUCAAGUCAUCAUGCCCCUUAUGUCCAGGGCUUCACGCAUGCUACAAUGGCUGGUACAGAGAGUGGCGAGCCUGUGAGGGUGAGCGAAUCUCGGAAAGCCGGUCUCAGUUCGGAUUGGGGUCUGCAACUCGACCUCAUGAAGUCGGAGUCGCUAGUAAUCGCAGAUCAGCAACGCUGCGGUGAAUACGUUCCCGGGGCU